AACGAACGCUGGCGGCAUGCCUAACACAUGCAAGUCGAACGAGAUCUUCGGGUCUAGUGGCGCACGGGUGCGUAACGCGUGGGAAUCUGCCCUUUGGUUCGGAAUAACAGUUGGAAACGACUGCUAAUACCGGAUGAUGACGAAAGUCCAAAGAUUUAUCGCCAGAGGAUGAGCCCGCGUAGGAUUAGCUAGUUGGUGUGGUAAAGGCGCACCAAGGCGACGAUCCUUAGCUGGUCUGAGAGGAUGAUCAGCCACACUGGGACUGAGACACGGCCCAGACUCCUACGGGAGGCAGCAGUGGGGAAUAUUGGACAAUGGGCGAAAGCUUGAUCCAGCAAUGCCGCGUGAAUGAUGAAGGCCUUAGGGUUGUAAAGCUCUUUUACCCGGGAUGAUAAUGACAGUACCGGGAGAAUAAGCUCCGGCUAACUCCGUGCCAGCCGCCGCAGUAA
rnacentral:rRNA from 1 species